GUUGUCCAUCUGAACACUAUAGCAGAUCAAGCCGUUGCCGACAGUGCAAUACCAACUAAAAUUAUGAGGGUACUUGAACAAUACACAGACAUGUUUGAAGAGCCCCGGGGCCUACCUCCUCGCCGAGAGUGUGAUCACAUAAUACCAUUAAUGGAAGGUGCUCAACCAGUGAACUUGCAACCAUAUCGCCACAAACCUGAGAUGAAAAUAGAAAUUGAGAGGCAGGUUAAAGAGCUAUUGGAUGCUGGCGUUAUUCAAAAAAGCAACAACCCUUUCUCCUCACCUGCUCUGUUAGUGAAGAAGAAGGAUGUCACGUGGCGAUUGUGUGUGGAUUACCAUCACCUCAGUGCUAUGACUAUAGUGAACAAAUACCCAGUAGCGAUAAUCGAUGAACUGUUCGAUGAGUUGGUGGGGGCAAGAUGGUUUUCCAAGCUUGAUUUGCAUGUGGGGCAUUGA
rnacentral:rRNA from 1 species